UGAAAGCAGGGUUAGUCUGUUUUCUGUAUCAUACUUCGUCGGACCAAAAUCAGUAAAAGUUAUGCUUUUUCGAUAUAUCUGAAGCCGUCGAUGAUGGUUCAAGUAUUUUUCAUUGCCAAUGGACAUGCAAACAAAUAUCUCAAUGAGAUCAAGAUCCUCCUUCAAAGUCGGCUGAGGGUGACUGAAGCCAGAUAUCUAUGGGAAUGUGAUGUCAUCGUGGCCCUCUGUACUAUCGUUUCCCGAGUUGGAACUGAUGUUGAGGCUACACUUCGAGAGAUUCCUCCAACCGCAAAGCCUACAGUUCUUGUGGUGCUGCAUCCCACAUUUGAUUCAGACUACGUGGUACCAAACACCCAGAGGUUCGUGGAUCACAGACAAAUGAUCACAGCAGACCUGCUGUUCAAUGAAGAUGAUAGAAUACUCAUUUGCUCAAGGAAUGAGCAAUCCAUCAAAAAGGCUGCAAAUUUCCUCUGCCAAAAUGAAAAACACACGCCUAGGCCGAUACUGAUCAACCGUGUUGAUGUCACUAAACGUGCCCCAAAAUCUUCCAGUUGCAUAUUGUUCUGUUUGCUCUUUGUUUUAUUUAUAAUUGUAACCGUUGUUCUCCUUGUCUUUGUAAUCACUGUUAUAUAAGUGAAGCUCUGUGCGAUUCAUGGCCAAGCCCCACAGGCAGCAAAAAUACAUGCGGCCAUCAACAGUGAUGUCUAACCAGUGUCUUUUGUCUUUUGGUUUAAAAGUACAUUGUAGUUUAGAAGUUGUGCUAAACCCCAACUUCAAGCUGUCCACUGUCUCUUCAACCAUUAUUGUUUUACCUUUAUGUUUACUGCUGGAGAACCAUGUGAAUGUGCUGUAAUAAAAUAAGUGAUCAGUUAAUAUACAGUACGUACUUACUUCAGAAGACGUGUUUAUCUAUUCCCAUUCUGAAGGCUAAUAUGACCUAAAGAUCUAACUAUAUAUAUAUAUAUAUAUAAUAGGAAAGUAGGCUUAUGAUUGUCAGGGGUUAGGAGACAGUAACUAAUGGGGCUUAAGUGGCAUUUCACCAACUUUACAGGAGGGCCAAAACAACACCAAUUGGUUCAGUGUGUUCCUCCCUGUGUUACUUUUAGUUCUUUUAACAGUAUACGACCUAAUUAAGAGCAUUCAUUUUGAUAUAUCUCAAUUUCGCCAACAUGUCACUUAUGCUCCUCUGGUUCUUACCCCUCGCUAAGUUAAUUUACUUGUAUCUAUAUCUGUAUCUGUCUGUCUGUCUGUCUGUCUGUCUCUGUACUUUCCUUGGGUGUUAAUGUUUUUGGAAACCUAUGACUUUUACUCCACUAUUUAAAAGACAAGUACUGGUCUUUUGACUCCACUACAUUUGAAAUACAUUUCAGUUUGACAUUCGAGCCAAGAGGGGCAAAAAAAAAAAAAAACUCAUAGCAGCUGAGACCUGACCUAUACCACUUGGGGAACACAGCACAAGCACAUAUGGACAAAACAAUCAUGCUAAAUAAACAUAUAUGUUUAUUUUUAAAGCAGAUUUUAAAUUACAUUGUAACAAUUUAACAAUUCACCCUUAUGAAAUCCAAUCGCGGCAAGGCAAGGCGGUGUAUUCAUUUCAGCGUAUGUCAGUGACACCCUAUUAUUGACUAAAUAAACAUUGCAUUACAACCCAUUAAAAAGAAGUACUUGUACUUUUGAAUACUUGAGUGUUUUUCAAAAGUACUCAAGUACUUUUACUUAUAGCAACUUUCACUUUUAUUGGAGUAACAUUGGAUCAGGAGUAUGUAUACCUCUUGUACUUUGUGUAUGUACUUUGUCCACCUCUGGCCAUAACUGUAGCACAUGCAGUCUACAAGACACCUACUUUGUCAGUCAGUGUAACAUUAAUAAAAAAAACACAAACAACUUGGAGCACUGCAAAUAUGCACAUACUAUGUGAUAUAUGAAUGUCAUAUUCUCUAUUUUUGCAUUGUCUAGGUUUGCACUGCAAAAGAAAG